ensembl:rRNA 5S_rRNA 5S ribosomal RNA
GACAUUUGGUAAAGACUGUUGAAGCCACCUGGUCCCAGCAGAUCCCGGAAGGCGGCCACAUUCGCUGGUGCUGGGACAAGGUUGUUAAGGGUGCAGCCUGGUGCCAGAAGUGU